rnacentral:tRNA from 1 species
GAUGUUUUUGUUUAAAUAAAUCUAAAUAUUUAUUAGCAAUAUUUAAAUCAAAAUGAACCGCUACCCUAAAAAAAUACAAUAAAAUAAUCCACUAAAUAUUGAUUGGUGUACAAGUUAAAUACUUGUAGAUAUUU